rnacentral:rRNA from 1 species
ACGUAGGUGGCAAGCGUUGUCCGGAUUUACUGGGUAUAAAGGGAGCGCAGGCGGGAGAGCAAGUCAGCGGUGAAAUACAUGGGCUUAACCCAUGAACUGCCGUUGAAACUGUUUUUCUUGAGUGAAGUAGAGGCAGGCGGAAUUCCGAGUGUAGCGGUGAAAUGCGUAGAUAUUCGGAGGAACACCAGUGGCGAAGGCGGCCUGCUGGGCUUUUACUGACGCUGAGGCUCGAAAGCGUGGGGAGCAAACAG